GUUUUCACAAGCAGCCAAUAGUGACUUCCGCCCAGAAAAAGAACCCUUCAUUAACACCAGUAAAAAGAAGAAUGACACUGUGGAGUGUCCAUCAAAGCACUGCUGUGGUGCAUGCUCUAGAAAAAUGGAAGGCAGGUGAAUUUCAUCAGAGAAUUCCCAUGGGCUUCAGAUGGAAUUGGUUAAGUAAGGAUGGCCACCAAUGUGAAACGUCC